AAUACAAGUUCUCUUACUUGGUUAGUCAAAUAAUUGUCGUUCCUCCAUAAAUCUCCAAACCCCGACUAAAUCAAAAUACUUUCAUAAUAAGAUAAAUGAAAAAGGAGAUGACUUUGAGUUUCCAACUUCUCUCCACAAUUGUUUGAAUACUAGUUCUCUCUUACUCGGUCAGUCGAACAGUUGUCGAACAAUUCUCAUUUUAAUGAAAUGAAAAGGGAGAUGACUUUGAGUUUUCAAUCUUUUCUCCUCGAUUAUUUGAAUACAAGUUCUCUUACUUGGUUAGUCAAAUAAUUGUCGUUCCUC
rnacentral:lncRNA from 1 species